rnacentral:rRNA from 1 species
AGUGAACGCUGGCGGUAGGCCUAACACAUGCAAGUCGAACGGCAGCACAGUAAGAGCUUGCUCUUACGGGUGGCGAGUGACGGACGGGUGAGGAAUACAUCGGAAUCUACUUUUUCGUGGGGGAUAACGUAGGGAAACUUACGCUAAUACCGCAUACGACCUACGGGUGAAAGCAGGGGAUCCUCGGACCUUGCGCGAUUGAAUGAGCCGAUGUCGGAUUAGCUAGUUGGCGGGGUAAAGGCCCACCAAGGCGACGAUCCGUAGCUGGUCUGAGAGGAUGAUCAGCCACACUGGAACUGAGACACGGUCCAGACUCCUACGGGAGGCAGCAGUGGGGAAUAUUGGACAAUGGGCGCAAGCCUGAUCCAGCCAUACCGCGUGGGUGAAGAAGGCCUUCGGGUUGUAAAGCCCUUUUGUUGGGAAAGAAAAGCAGCAGGUUAAUACCCCGCUGUUCUGACGGUACCCAAAGAAUAAGCACCGGCUAACUUCGUG